GACGAACGCUGGCGGCGUGCCUAAUACAUGCAAGUCGAGCGCAGGAAACUGACGGAACUCUUCGGAGGGAAGGCAGUGGAAUGAGCGGCGGACGGGUGAGUAACACGUAAGGAACCUGCCUCAAGGAUUGGGAUAACUCCGAGAAAUCGGAGCUAAUACCGGAUAGUUCAACGGACCGCAUGGUCCGCCGAUGAAAGGCGCUCCGGCGUCACCUUGAGAUGGCCCUGCGGUGCAUUAGCUAGUUGGUGGGGUAACGGCCCACCAAGGCGACGAUGCAUAGCCGACCUGAGAGGGUGACCGGCCACACUGGGACUGAGACACGGCCCAGACUCCUACGGGAGGCAGCAGUAGGGAAUCUUCCACAAUGGACGAAAGUCUGAUGGAGCAACGCCGCGUGAGUGAUGAAGGUUUUCGGAUCGUAAAACUCUGUUGUAAGGGAAGAACACGUACGAGAGGGAAUGCUCGUACCUUGACGGUACCUUACGAGAAAGCCACAGCUAACUACGUGCCAGCAGCCGCCGUAAUAC
rnacentral:rRNA from 1 species